CUGACAUGGCUCAGCUUACUGGAAAAAUGGCUUUAGAAUGUUGCAAAGGAAAGGAAAGCCUAUGGAGACUUUUUCUUGCAAUAUAAAACUUCCUGUAGUUUAUUGAUGAGGCCUGAACUGCUUGCAGAAAUUCUCCAAUCAGCACAUGUUUAUCUUGCAGAUAAG